UACGUAGGCAGCAAGCGUUGUUCGGAGUUACUGGGCGUAAAGGGUGUGUAGGCGGCCUGUUAAGUUCCGUGUGAAAUCUCCCGGCUCAACCGGGAGGGUGCGCGGAAAACUGGCGGGCUAGAGUGCGGGAUGGGAGAGUAGAAUCCUGGUGUAGCGGUGAAAGUGCGUAGAUAUCAGGAGGAAUACCGGUGGUGUAGACGGCUCUCUGGACCGCAACUGACGCUGAAACACGAAAGCGUGGGGAGCGAACAGG
rnacentral:rRNA from 1 species